ACGGGGGGUGCAAGCGUUGUUCGGAAUUAUUGGGCGUAAAGCGCGUGUAGGCGGUUCGUUAAGUCUGAUGUGAAAGCCCCGGGCUUAACCUGGGAAGUGCAUUGGAAACUGGCAGUCUUGAGUACGGGAGAGGGUGGGGGAAUUCCCGGUGUAGGGGUGAAAUUCGUAGAUAUCAGGAGGAACAUCAGUGGCGAAGGCGCCUACCUGGACGGUAACUGACGCUGAGCCGCGAAAGCGUGGGGAGCAAACAG
rnacentral:rRNA from 1 species